rnacentral:rRNA from 1 species
UCGAGAGGCUUCGGCAAUGGGGGAAACCCUGACCGAGCGACGCCGCGUGCGGGAUGACGGCCCUCGGGUUGUAAACCGCUGUCAGGAGGGAAGAAUCCUUCCGGGUUAAUACCCCGGAAGUUGACGGUACCUCCAGAGGAAGCUCCGGCUAACUCCGUGCCAGCAGCCGCGGUAAUACGGAGGGAGCGAACGUUGUUCGGAUUCACUGGGCGUAAAGGGCGUGUAGGCGGUUUGGCAAGUCAGAGGUGAAAUGUCUCGGCUCAACCGAGGACCUGCCUUUGAAACUGCCGAACUUGAGGCCGUGAGAGGAGACUGGAAUUCCUAGUGUAGCGGUGAAAUGCAUAGAUAUUAGGAAGAACACCAGUGGCGAAGGCGAGUCUCUGGCACGGUUCUGACGCUGAGGCGCGAAAGCUAGGGGAGCGAACGGGAUUAGAUACCCCCGUAGUCC